rnacentral:lncRNA from 1 species
UCUCCAUAAUUCUCGGAUUAAAAAUCUUGGCAGGUAGUUUUUUUAAAAAAAAUUAAUAGCAUUCUCUAAAUUAGAUAAAAGAUGCAUUUUACAAGGAGAGAGGAAGGAGAAUUUUCCCUUUAUGCGGAAUUAAUGCUGAGCUUCUAAUACAUCCGGCGCCCGCAAUCUCAAUCCUCUUUGUUUCAUUUUUUUUUUUCAAAUUUCUUCCUGAUUUUCGGUAUUAAACAACUUUUUUUUUCAACGCUCCAUUGAUGGAAGAACCACCAAAUACAGAAAAAAGAGUGCAAUUCAAGCAAGAAUUAUUUGACCAAUUGAUUGAAAAUUUUAUAUUAGUUUAUUAAUUUAAUUUAAUUAUCUGGCGAAAUGCCAGCGAAGCAGCAGCUAGGCUAAGGCUAGCAAUGGACUGGAGGCAAAAGCAGCCUCCGAAUAAACUCAUACGUACCAGAAACUGAAAGAUAAAAGUCAAGAAGGCUCCAAAAGAAUGUGUACGUGCGAGUGUGUUUUCGCAAAUCUCGAUGAAUUAAUAAUAAUUUUAUUAACUAAGUUGGUUGAGAUUGAGGAGGGAGGGUGAUAAUUAUUCCUGAUCGAUGGAAUGGAAUGGGGGGAACUGUUUGAUGGUCAAUGAUGAACAGAGGGCAUCGAAUCGGUGACGACUGACGAGAUAUUCGUUGUUGACGUUUUGGGCAUAACGUUUUGAUGUGACUGCAUGGGAUACGUAUGAAUGAGGGUGAAGCCCCGCAGACCGCAGUGAUGAUACCCAAGCCGGCGCCCUUUUGUUGCAUUCAAAGUCUGGCAAACUUCUAAGUUAAUGCAAGUUCCAACCACAAUCAUAAAUAGUAUGUAAUGUGGGUUCACGUACUAUUUUUGAUUAUAAGUUACAUUACAUGUAAUUUAAAAAGUCCUCAAUCUCAUUGUAUGAGUUUAUUUAAUCGCCAUCAUAAUUUUAUCCCACCAUAAGGUUCCCGUUGAUGAAAUUUUCUUGAUUUUUACUACAAGAUAGGGAUAUAUAAUUUAAUUAUUAUUGUUAUUAUGAAUAAUUUUUAAUAAUAUUAAAAUUAUGAAGAAACCAACUCCUAAAUGAGGGAGAAAAAAAUUUACUCACGCACCUCAAUAAUAGUAUUGUAACCUUUAUAAUUUAAUGCUCGGUAAAUUAAUAAUCUUUAUUAUGUAAUAAUUUUUUGCAGUCCCGACUUGGGCUAAAGAGCUAAAUUCAUAAGUUUGAGAAAUUAACAAGGUAAUAUUUUUCUGAAAAUCAUUGUACAAUUUUGUGAACCCAUUCAUAUCAUAAGUUAAUAAUAUAUAAAAAUUACAAAUAUUAUUGCUAUG